AGGUAUUUGAAAUAUGUGGAUUUAAAGCAUCUAGUAAUGAUUAUGAAGAUGCUGAAGGGAUAUGGCUUUGGAUUACAGCAAUAGGCAAGAUGUUAUCUGUUAAUAGACUAAAGAACAGAGAAGUGAUUUCUGUGACUAUAGAGCAAUUUAAAGGAAGAGCUGAGAUUAAACAGUCCCACAUCUGCUUCACUGCUUUGGGUAUCAUUAUUUAUCUAAAUCUCCGGAGCCAUUGAGGACCAAGAUCAUACUUGCUGAAUAAAUGCACGGAGCAGGAUCAGAGGAUAGACACAGAAUGGGCCAAGAAGAGAAAUAUUAUUCCUCAUAAGAGCUUGCUUGAUUGCAACCACCAAGGACAUCCACAAACCAGGGCAAGAAGGACCAUCCGUAAUUCUUUCCCAUAAAUAGUGACAGGAAGAAAAUAAACGCCCUAUUCUUCAAUGAUUUGAACCACCUCUGGAGCACAAACUUUCUCUAAAUUCACAGGGCAAAUAUCCAUCAUGGGGCAGGUAUCUAUGCUGCCAUGGAAAGUAACAUAAAAUGUACUAAGUCAUCACAGGGAGUUUUAAUUUUGUUUUUAAGGUCAAUUGCCAUGCUGGGGUAAAAAGCAUUGAUCCUUGCCUUUUAUCACCGGAAAAAUUCUUCACCAGUACUUUGUGAAAAUCUCGCCUCAUCAGGGCUGCCAAGGUCAAUGCAACCUAAGUAACCAAGCUGGGAGAUGCUUGCCUAAUUAUUAAAUAUUUAGCAAACAGUUUGUGACUAUUUAACUGUUUGCACCUGGCACCCUCUUUUCACUACGUGAGGCCUCCUGGCACCCUGACCUCUUCCCCCACCCCUACCCACUGCCCAGGCCGCCAGCACCCCUGGGGGGCAAAUACCGGGACCCAAGGGCAUUUCAAAGAAACAGCAGAGGUCACAUUCCAUUUCCUUUUUAUUAAAAAACAUACUUAAAAUGGGGGAGGAGGGCACAGAUCUAAGGUAAAAUCUCUUGCAGUUUUUUCAAGUUCGCAUGCACCGUUGAAAGUUCAUUAGUUAGGGAUUUAAAAGCAAAAAUGUUUCACACAACCAAUUAAACGCCAAGCUUUACAAACGCCUUGGUCUUUGGUUUUGGGAAUCUGUAAAAGUCCGCCUCCCCCCACCCGAGUUUUGCCCCUUUUAGAGCCCCUUUGUUGAAUUACGUGACUUUUCCCGAAGUCAUCAAACUUUGAAUUGCGUCUCUAAUUUUUUUUUUCAGGGCAAAAGCAAAUCAAGAAAUUAAACUUAAAAGUAGGCGACUCGGAGAGAAGUGGGGGAAAGCUCGCCCCAAAGCCAAGUUCCGCAGGACUAAAGCCCUCUUUGCGCGCGCGGGGCGGGGGAUUGUCC
rnacentral:lncRNA from 10 species